CCUACGGGUGGCAGCAGUGAGGAAUAGUGGGCAAUGGAGGCAACUCUGACCCAGCCAUGCCGCGUGAGUGAAGAAGGUUUUCGGAUUGUAAAGCUCUUUCGGAUGUGACGAUGAUGACGGUAGCAUCUAAAGAAGCACCGGUUAACUGCGUGCCAGCAGCCGCGGGAAUACGAAGGGGGCAAGCGUUGUUCGGAAUUACUGGGCGUAAAGGGAGUGUAGGCGGUUGAGUAAGAUAGUGGUGAAAGCCCAGAGCUUAACUUUGUGAUUGCCAUUAUAACUAUUAGACUAGAAUUACAGAGAGGAGAGUGGAAUACCCAGUGGAGAGGUGAAAUUCGUAGAUAUUGGGUAGAACACCAGUGGCGAAGGCGACUAUCUGGCUGUACAUUGACGCUGAGGCUCGAAAGCAUGGGGAUCAAACAGGAUUAGAUACCCCAGUAGUC
rnacentral:rRNA from 1 species